CUUUAACUAUGAUAAUUAAAAUACAUCCAUUCAUUUGGCAAAUAUUUGCCCAGCAUCUAUUAGGGCAGGAGACUGUAUUAGGAACAGAGAUACAAAGAUGAAAAAAAUCAGACCCAGUUUUCAAGGAGUUUGCAUUACAGAGAGUCAGAAACAUAAACAUUCAUUCAGUUUUUCAUCCAUUUACUUUUUCAUUUCAUGUAUUUAUUGAUUUCAUUCAUUUAUAUAAGCAUUCAGCAAGUAUUUGUUGGUGUUUAUUGUGUACAGAGGAGAUGCCUGUGCUGAAGAUGCAGUAUUGCAGAAGAGUAUGAUCUUGCCUUCAAAGAGUUCACAUUAUAAAGAAGAGAGGCAAACACUGACCUAGGUGACCUGCUUAACCAGUAGAAGUUGACAGAAGUAACAUUGUGGGAUUGCUGAGACAAGGGCAUAAGAAGAUUUGCAGCUUCCACCUUGGCCUUUGGAAACCUCGCUCUGAGAGAAUCGGUGCACCAUGUCAGAAGUCCAAAAACCCUGAGGCCACCAUGCCGGAGAUUCCACCUAUAGGUGCUCCCAUCUCCAGUCCUAACUGAGCCCUGGACUUCUACCCAUUCCAGUCAGAGCCAGGCAUUAGAGUAAAGCCAUUAUGGACUCUCCAGCCCAGCCUCCCACUGAAUAUCAGUCAUGCUACAUGAAGUAGAAGAAUCACUCAGGCAAGCCCUACCCAAAUAUCUGACCCACAAACCAGUAAAAUAUAAUAAAAU
rnacentral:lncRNA from 10 species